rnacentral:rRNA from 1 species
CCUACGGGAGGCAGCAGUGGGGAAUAUUGCACAAUGGGCGCAAGCCUGAUGCAGCCAUGCCGCGUGUAUGAAGAAGGCCUUCGGGUUGUAAAGUACUUUCAGCGAGGAGGAAGGCGUUGUGGUUAAUAACCACAGCGAUUGACGUUACUCGCAGAAGAAGCACCGGCUAACUCCGUGCCAGCAGCCGCGGUAAU